rnacentral:lncRNA from 1 species
UUUUGGGCUGAAGCAUAGAUCGAAGCUCGAGUAAAUUUAGGCUAGGCUCGGGUGGAGGCAUGGCUUGACCCAGCCUGGUCCUUUUCUAGCCCUACACCUAACCCCAUCCAUGCAUUCUAGCAAGGCUAUUUAUUUAAAUUUUCUGGUUUAUUGGUUGAGCCAAUCUAUUGGAUUGAAGAAUGGAUGAUAUGAUUAGAUCAGUCAAAAUAUUGGGUUAGGACUUGAUUGGAAAGAUAACUCUCACGAUCAAAACCCAGGAAUUCGACAUGAACCAAAGAAGAGAUUCGGUUCUCCCUAGCAAUAGUUUGGCUAUUAGAGGGGAGGAAGCGGA